GCCGUCCCUCCCGGAAGCGCCGGCGGAGCGUCCUCGCAUGGAGCGCGAGCCCAGCGCCUCGGAGGCCGCCCCCGCGGCGGCCGCGCUCUUCGCCUGGGGUGCAAAUAGCUAUGGGCAACUUGGCCUCGGCCAUAAGGAAGAUGUGCUGUUGCCCCAGCAACUGAAUGACUUCUGUAAACCCAGGAGUGUCAGGAGGAUCACAGGAGGAGGGGGCCACUCUGCAGUUGUCACAGAUGGAGGAGACCUCUUUGUUUGUGGCCUGAACAAAGAUGGGCAACUGGGGCUUGGUCACACAGAGGAUAUCCCAUAUUUUACCCCCUGCAAAUCCCUCUUUGGCUGUCCCAUCCAACAGGUGGCCUGUGGCUGGGAUUUUACGAUUAUGCUCACAGAAAAUGGUCAAGUUCUAUCAUGUGGAUCCAACUCCUUUGGCCAGUUAGGAGUUCCUCAUGGACCUCGAAGAUGUGUGGUUCCCCAGGCCAUUGAGCUCCAUAAAGAGAAGGUUGUUUGUAUUGCUGCUGGACUGAGGCAUGCAGUAGCUGCUACAGCGAGUGGCAUCGUGUUCCAGUGGGGGACUGGUUUGGCAUCAUGUGGACGACGGUUGUGCCCUGGGCAGACUCUUCCAUUGUUUUUCACAGCAAAGGAACCAAGCAGAGUGACAGGUCUAGAGAAUUCUAAAGCAAUGUGUGUUCUUGCUGGCUCAGACCACUCAGCUUCAUUAACAGAUGCAGGAGAGGUGUAUGUUUGGGGAAGCAACAAGCAUGGGCAACUGGCUAAUGAGGCUGCUUUCCUUCCUGUGCCCCAGAAAAUAGAAGCACAUUGUUUCCAGAAUGAAAAGGUCACUGCCAUCUGGAGUGGAUGGACACACCUGGUUGCUCAGACAGAAACUGGCAAGAUGUUUACCUGGGGCCGAGCAGACUAUGGUCAGCUAGGGAGGAAGUUGGAGACUUAUGAAGGCUGGAAACUAGAAAAGCAAGAUUCAUUUCUCCCCUGUUCAAGACCACCGAACAGCAUGCCUUCGUCUCCGCAUUGCUUAACUGGAGCAACUGAGACUAGCUUUAGAUGGCAUCUCCUUGGAAAGUCUUCCCUGAUGUCCAGGUCCUAAUUGAUCACUUCAUUCUCUGAACUUCCAGUAGGUCUCUUGUGGCUCAGAGCAUAAUUUGGCAAUAAUUGGUGGAGUGUGUUACUCUUGGGGCUGGAAUGAGCAUGGCAUGUGCGGAGAUGGCACUGAAGCCAACGUCUGGGCCCCAAAGCCGGUGCAGGCUCUGCUGUCAUCGUCAGGACUCCUUGUGGGCUGUGGGGCUGGCCACUCCUUGGCCCUCUGCCAGCUGCCAGCUCACCCUGCAUUGGUCCAGGACCCCAAGGUCACCUACCUUUCCCCAGAUGCCAUCGAGGACACUGAAUCUCAGAAAGCCAUGGACAAAGAGAGAAACUGGAAGGAAAGACAAUCAGAAACUUCAACCCAAAGCCAAUCUGACUGGUCCAGAAAUGGGGGACUGUGAUAGAGAAUCUUUAAUAAAGUGGCUUUUCCCACCAAAA